UACGAAGGGGGCUAUCGUUGUUCGGAAUCACUGGGCGUAAAGCGCACGUAGGCGGAUUAUUAAGUCAGAGGUGAAAUCCCGGAGCUCAACUUCGGAACUGCCUUUGAUACUGGCAAUCUCGAGUCUGGAAGAGGUUGGUGGAACUGCGAGUGUAGAGGUGAAAUUCGUAGAUAUUCGCAAGAACACCAGUGGCGAAGGCGGCCAACUGGUCCAGUACUGACGCUUAGGUGCGAAAGCGUGGGGAGAGAACAGG
rnacentral:rRNA from 1 species